rnacentral:lncRNA from 1 species
AGAGGGCUCUCACACAUGAGGAUAUAAGGAAAAGACAGAAGUCUGCAACCAGGAAGAGGACCCACACCAGAACUUGACUGUGCUGGCACCCUGAUCUCGAACUCUCAGCCUCCAGAACUCUAUUUUUUAAUAUGGAUGGGGAAACUGACAUUGAAGAAGAAAACAAGAAACUAUUGCCACUGCCUGGCAAGGCUGCACUAGUGCUGGGGGAAGAGGCGUCUUGGCAAUUGAUUGAUAGACUUAAUCUGGGCUUGGCACCUACUUGGAAGCAGAGCAGGGUGUGCUCCAGAAAUUCAAGAAGUGGAUGCAUGGCAGGGCAGGAAGAAGAACAUCAUAGGAUACACUAGAAGCACUGCACUUGCCUUCCUUAGUUGGGGCAGAGGUGCAUUCUUCCAGGAUUCCACCUUGGAAGCUUGGGAAUGGUGUAUCAGGUCUGGAUAAUAGUUCUUCCCACAACUAUGCCUUCUUCCUUGGGAAUAACAUAAUCCAAAACUUACCGUAUGUUACAGAUUCCGGGAGAAGUGAGAAAAACCUGAGAGCACUGGAAAGCUGAGUAAAUCAGAAAGUACUGGAGGCAGAAAUGGUAGUGUAGAUAAGAGCACUUUCCUGAUUUGAAUACAGGUUUUUUACAGAAGUUGUUGUGUGUUAUUUAGUCACAUUGUACUAAAUGACAAAGACUAGGUAGUCUAGAGCAUUCCUCCCCUCUAAGAGCACGCUGGAUGUGGUGCAGUCAUAGUCCACCAUUUCCUGUUUCCUUCAUACUUCAGGUCAAAUGAAUGUGCUUCCUUAAGCAUUUAAGAAUAAAAUAAAUAAAAGGAACUCUCAGUGACCUCUUAUAUGAUAUUAGGAGCUAUGCAGAAAAUAUUUUUUAAAAUCCUUAAGUCACAGCAUUUCUGAACUUAAGAGGAAUGAGUUAAGACUAAGUAAAGUUGACCUCUUGUUUGCAGUUAAAGCUCACAUUCAGCCCCUGAAUAAUAUUUGAAUAGUUUCUUGGCUAAGAGUUCACAUCCAAGAGCUGAAUAUGUUAUGCAUUGAACAUGAAAGACCCAAACUUUGAUUAAUCUUUUCUGCUCAAACUUUUCACCACCAUGAAGCACUUUCCAAACACAAGCAUUCUUGGAAAAAGAGUGCGCACACAGUCAAAGAGCCAGAGAGGAGCAACCUCCAAACAUUGAAAACACCACCUUCCCAAGUUUCAGCCUCCUCUCUGGAGUCCAAGAUUUGUAAUGCUAAUCCGACUACCUUCUUCCACUCUAGAAAAAAAGUAAAAAUACGAAAACAAUGUAGUUAUUCACUGUAGUGAUACGAGACAACACAUUUUUCCAGCACUUUCCUUUCUUAGCUUUUUCUUGGUGUAUAAGUUUAUGCAAAAACAAUAUUUACUUGUUAUUUAUUGUGAUGACAAAUGUCUGCCAAUUUAGAGCAGAAUUCCCAGAGUUUUUUAUUCCAGAAGAAUAAUCUCACUUAUCACUUUUUCCAUACCCAAUUUUGCCCAUGAGGCUGAAAUAAACGAUUAGAUCAAUUAAAAACUCAAUCCAACUAGUUUGGAAUGCGGGGAACAAAAACUCCCCUCAGUUGUUGGAAAUGUUCACUUUUAAUACAGUUGCUUCUAUAACCUGGAUUAAUUUAUUUUCUCUGGAAUUUAUACAUCUCACUGAUGCUUCAGUUCAUGAAAAAAAAUCCAUAGGAGACUUCGAUUUUGCAUUUCUGACAUAAAGAACAUCUGUUAAAGUUAGAAUUGAUCUACAGUUGAUCAUUACAGUUGCCUGGAUUACAAGUGAUAGUUUCAGUGUAUUGAUAGGUCAGAAAGCAUUUCCAAAAUCUGUUACUAGAAAGCACUAGUUGUUCACUGUCUAAAUGUUUGUCACUUGGGUAGACUCUGAGGCUGUAACUAUUGAUGGAAAAUUUGUCUGUUGAAGUCCCAUUCUAACUGGACUGUUUAUUAUUUCCUGAUGAUUUUUAUUGUGUGUUUCUUAAAAUGUCUCAUCUACUCUGGUUCCUGAGGACUCUCUUGAUUAAUUAAUGCUUAUUUAUCUCUCUGAAAAAUAGGCAUGAAUUUUCAUCUAUAUACAUAAACUGAAUCACAAUCUACUUUAGAAAUUAUAGGGUAAAUCUGUGCUAGACUUUCAAAAUAAGUGAAUUUGUAUCUGGACUCUGCUAAAUAACACAACAACUUCUGUAAAAAAAUACAUGCUUUUAAAUCCUUCAGUUUGGUAGACUAUUAGGCACAGCUCUUCACAUUCACUUUUUUUUCUCAUUUAAAGCAAUUUGUUUUAUGCAGCUGUUGGGAAAAGAAAAUUAAUAUUCUACAGAUUAUUCGAAUAAGUAAGUUUAAGCUGUGUUUAAUCCUUUCAAGAUAUAAAGUGUGGGGAGGCCAGGCGCAGUGGCUCACACCUGUAAUCCCAGCACUUUGGGAGGCCAAGGCAGGGGGAUCACUUGAGGUCAGGAGUUUGAGACCAGCCUGGCCAAUAGGGCGAAACCCAGUCUCUACUAAAAAUACACCAUUUAGCCAGGCACGGUGGUGGGCACCUGUAGUUCCAGGUACUCAGGAGACUGAGGCAGGAGAAUCGCUUGAACCUGGGAGGCAGAGGUUGCAGGGAGCCGAGAUCACACCACUGCACUCCAGCCUGGGCAACAGAGCAAGACUCUGUCUAAAAUAAAUAAAUAAAUAUAUAUAUAAUAUAAAGUGUGUCCUGUCACUUCUUUUUAAUGUAUUUUUUAAAUAUACAAAUUUAUAGAAAUAUAGCAAUAAACUUAUGACCCCAGCAAAAUAACUCCAGCACUUCCUCUCCCAAAGGAUGCUUCUAGUUACCACAUAUUUUACUUCUUAUAAAAUUUUAUAUGGCUAAAAAUCAUAAUAUUGCUUUUUAGAAUAGAAAGUAAGUCAUGUUUUUCCAGCUAUGUAUUUCAUAGUUUUAUUUUAUUCCUCAAAUAUAAUUUUUUAUUACAUAGAAUUUAUCUGUCCUUUGGAAACUUAAAAUGUAAAUGCUAAAUUUUCUUCUGACGCAAACCACAACUGUUAUAUGGAUGGUUCUCCUGAAAUGGUAGACACUAGAUCAGGCCAGAGGGAAAUACUCUCACUAAAAUACAAUCAGUUGUUCCCAGCGUUUACAAAUAAAGUAUAGGAGCCAUACAAAAAGAUGACUAUGAUAAUGGUCAUUACUAAGGGACCCAACUUUUGCCAACUGAUUUGGAAUGCCAUCUUUAAAAUGUAUUACGUUUUUAUACCUAUAUAAUCUAUCUCCAGAAAUUCCAUCAGCUCUAUUGGUCUGUCUGCUCAUGUACCAAUACCAUGUUAUUUUAUGAACUGUAGCUUUAAAAAGAGUUUUUGUUUCUGCUAGAAAACUUUUUGUUUCUGCUUGUUUUUGGUUUCAAAAUUUGACUAUUUUUGCUUAUGGGUUUUCGUUUUUGUUUUUUUUUGAGGUGGAGUCUCACUUUGUCACUCAGGCUGCAAUGCAGUGGCAUGAUCUAGGCUCACUGCAACCUCUGCCUCCCGGGUUCAAGCAAUUCUCCUAUCUCAGCCUCCCUAGUAGCUGGGAUUAUAGGCGCACACCACAAUGCUCAGGAAUUUUUUUUUUUUUUUUUUUUUUUGUAAAGACGGUGUUUUGCCAUAUUGGCGAGGCUGAUCUCGAACUCCUGACCUCAAGUGAUCCAUCCACCCCGGCUUCCCAAAGUGCUGAGAUUACAGGCAUGAGCCACCGUGCCUGCCCGUCCGCUUGUGUAUUUUUCAUAUGAACUUUAGAAUCCCUUAAUUUAGUUCCCAUACUUAAAAAAAGGUAUUUUUAGAACUACAUUAAAAAGUUGAUAUUAGGAUUACAUUAAAUUUGUGAAUUAAUAUUGGGAGACUUGAGGGUUUUUGUUUUGUUUUUUUUUUUUGGAUUUUUUGAGACAGGGUCUCACUCUGUUACCCAGGCUGGAGUGCAGUGGUGCAAUCUCAGUUCACUGCAACCUCUGCCUCCCAGGCUCAAGUGAUCCUCCUACUUCAGCCUCCCAAGUAGCUGGGACUACAGGUAUGUGCUGUAACACCUGGCUAAUUUUUUUUUUUUUAAAGAUGAGGUUUCACUAUGUUGCCAAGGCUGGUCUUGAACUCCUGGGAUCAAGUGAUCUGCCUGCCUCAGACUCCCAAAGUGCUGGAAUUACAGGAGUGAGCCACUGUGCCAGGCUUUUGACAUCUUUAUGAUGUUGAGUCCUCCAGUCUUAGAAUAUGAUCCUUUCCAUUGGUCUCAGUCUUUUUCAUGUCUCUAGGUAGCAUUUAAGAUACUUCUUUAUGUAGAUCUUUCACAUUCUUAAAUUUAUGCCUAGAUAUUUUAUAUUUAAUAUAGUUUGUAUGUAAUAUAGUUUAUAUUAUUUUGUCAUUUGGAAAUAUAAAAACUACUGAUUUUUGCUUAUUGAUUUCAUGUAAUUUUGUACUUUGCUACUUUACUUUAUUGAAGUCUCUAAUUGUUUGCA